AACGCUAGCUACAGGCUUAACACAUGCAAGUCGAGGGGCAGCAUGAACUUAGCUUGCUAAGUUCGAUGGCGACCGGCGCACGGGUGAGUAACGCGUAUCCAACCUUCCGUACACUCAGGAAUAGCCUUUCGAAAGAAAGAUUAAUACCUGAUGGUAUGAUGAGAUUGCAUGAAAUCAUCAUUAAAGAUUCAUCGGUGUACGAUGGGGAUGCGUUCCAUUAGAUAGUAGGCGGGGUAACGGCCCACCUAGUCUACGAUGGAUAGGGGUUCUGAGAGGAAGGUCCCCCACAUUGGAACUGAGACACGGUCCAAACUCCUACGGGAGGCAGCAGUGAGGAAUACUGGUCAAUGGGCGCGAGCCUGAACCAGCCAAGUAGCGUGAAGGAUGAAGGUCCUACGGAUUGUAAACUUCUUUUAUAAGGGAAUAAAGUCACCCACGUGUGGGUGUUUGUAUGUACCUUAUGAAUAAGCAUCGGCUAACUCCGUGCCAGCAGCCGCGGUAAUACGGAGGAUGCGAGCGUUAUCCGGAUUUAUUGGGUUUAAAGGGAGCGUAGACGGGUCGUUAAGUCAGCUGUGAAAGUUUGGGGCUCAACCUUAAAAUUGCAGUUGAUACUGGCGUCCUUGAGUACGGUUGAGGCAGGCGGAAUUCGUGGUGUAGCGGUGAAAUGCUUAGAUAUCACGAAGAACUCCGAUUG
rnacentral:rRNA from 1 species